rnacentral:rRNA from 1 species
AGAGUUUGAUCCUGGCUCAGGAUGAACGCUGACAGAAUGCUUAACACAUGCAAGUCGAUGGGGAAGUGGUGCUUGCACCAUGGCAACCAUGGCGGACGGGUGAGUAACGCGUAAGGGACUUACCUGCAGGACUGGGAUAACAGGGGGAAACUCCUGACAAGACCGGAUAAUGUCAUGGAGCUGCAUGGCUUUAUGAUGAAAGGAGACGCCUGCGGAGAGCCUUGCGUCCUAUUAGCUAGUUGGUGAGGUAAUGGCUCACCAAGGCGAAGAUAGGUAGCCGGCCUGAGAGGGUGGACGGCCACAAGGGGACUGAGAUACGGCCCUUACUCCUACGGGAGGCAGCAGUGGGGAAUAUUGGACAAUGGGGGCAACCCUGAUCCAGCAAUUCUGUGUGCACGAAGAAGGUUUUCGGAUUGUAAAGUGCUUUCAGCAGGGAAGAAGAAAGUGACGGUACCUGCAGAAGAAGCGACGGCUAAAUACGUGCCAGCAGCCGCGGUAAUACGUAUGUCGCGAGCGUUAUCCGGAAUUAUUGGGCAUAAAGGGCAUCUAGGCGGCACGACAAGUCAGGGGUGAAAACUUGCGGCUCAACUGCAAGCUUGCCUUUGAAACUGUAGUGCUAGAGUAUUGGAAAGGUGGGCGGAACUACACGAGUAGAGGUGAAAUUCGUAGAUAUGUGUAGGAAUGCCGAUGAUGAAGAUAGCUCACUGGACGAUAACUGACGCUGAAGUGCGAAAGCUAGGGGAGCGAACAGGAUUAGAUACCCUGGUAGUCCUAGCUGUAAACGAUGAUUACUGGGUGUGGGCAGGAAGACUGUCUGUGCCGAAGCAAAUGCGAUAAGUAAUCCGCCUGGGGAGUACGGCCGCAAGGCUGAAACUCAAAGGAAUUGACGGGGACCCGCACAAGCGGUGGAGCAUGU